rnacentral:lncRNA from 1 species
AAGAGGCUUGCCAGUGGGUGUGGGUGGGCGGGGACCAGUGUGACCCCACUGCUUAAACAACAAUGGGCUUCUGGGAGUUGAAGCCUCACAGCCAGGUACCCAAUACCUUUUCCUCUUUCCAACACCACCAAAGCAUGGCGUCCAAAAUCUUCUGUUGCUGUUACAAGGCCAAUGAUACAACUAACAACAAUGCCAGCCACCCGUCUACAACAGUGACCCAACAGAAUCAACCAGUGUGGGGCAGUUGCUUCAUGCCACCAAACAGAAGACCUCCUCAGGUUGAAGAAGCUCCAAAAAUCCCCCGGGAUAUGAACGUAAAUGCUCAUCAAAGGGCUAUUCAAAGGAGAUACUCAUUCAUCUCCCCAGAACACUGUUCGCUAUUUAGCCUUCAGAGACCCUGAGGGUUCUAGAGGCAGCAGACCAGGAUAUCUGAGCUGCACAGCUGCUGGAGGGUCUCCAUGAGGAUGAAGAAGGCAGUGGACAGGAGUCAUGAAGACCGAUUCCGAAACUCCACCGCAAGGAGGGAAGAGGUCUGAGCCAUCCCUGUGCCACCAAGCGUGAGUCACACCAGCUCCUGACAGCCACGGAGGGAGUGCUGCCUGCAAUUAAAGUCCUUGUUU